UUUUUUUGAAGCGCAAGACCAACAUCUGGCAUAUUUAGUUUAAAACAAAUAUGUUUAUUAACAUUAAGUGUUGUUUUUGAGACCAUCAACCUGUGGUGACCUACCUGUCACUGCAAAUCCAUGAGUCCUUCAUUUUUGUGGUUCUCUAGAACGAGCCCCUUCUCUAGAACAAGGCUUCUGAAUGUUUUGUUCAAAUUGUUCAAACAAAAGUACCAUUUAAAUCCAAAGUUUUGGAAAACUUUUUGAAAAAAUGUUGUUCCUGUUUACUUGUCAUGAGGCUGGAAAUGAACAGCGUUUAGCUUAGAACUUGCAGAAACAUUUGACUUCAUACAUUGUGCUUACAUCCAGCAACACAUGAUGGAAAAUUCAAUUAAUUUUAUUUUACAUAUUAAAAAGUGGCCGUUAAAGAGCCAAGAAAGUGCAGCAAUGAUGGUCAGUUACAACACAGGAAAAGAUUUGAUUAGUGAUCAUUAGUGGGGGCAGAGUGUCCCAAGCGGUUUCAGCCUGAAGAGGAGAAGCAUGAUCAGUCCCAGCUGUCUGACCCUGAUCCCCGAACACCUGUCAUUUUACAAACACUAGUGUUAAUUGUCUUAUGGUUGCUGAUUCAGCAGGUAGCGAUCAAAGUCCGAGAGUUACAGCACCCAGAUGGUGGCGGGUACUUCACAGCCAGGCUUUCUCGCCAACGCCAUGUGGCAGCGCAGUGUGUUGGUGGGAACAGACGUGGCUCUCAGGUGCCUCUUUAACAGUAAAGUUGUUGAGUGGAGCGAUCUGAUUGUGGAGUGGAACAUGGUGGAUAAACACGCCAAAAAGAGUAUCUUGUACACCUUUGAAGACGGGAGAGCGCUGAACUCUGACGGCAGCAUCGUGGAUCGGCUGGGUCUGCUUCAGAGGAAUGCAUCUCUGCACCUGCAUAACAUAAGUCUGGCACAUGAAGGGCUGUACACCUGCAGGAUCAUCACACCCGUGGUCCACAUAGAGACCACAUCCCUCGAAGUGCUGGCUGAGCCUUGGGUGUCGCUACCAAAAAAUGCAGCAGUGACAGAAGGAGAGGAGAGGACGCUACACUGUUACAUCGUAGGCUUUUACCCAGAGAAACUGGCAGUGGCGUGGCUCAUCCAAAAUGGCUCCAGCACAGUCCCGGCAGGGCUCAGCCAGUUCUCCCGGGUCUGCACCAAGAUGGCAGUUCACAAUCAGAACGGCACCUAUAGCACUCGCAGCAGCAUCACGCUGCACUCCUCUGCAGUCCAAGAAAGGGGGAUCCGCGUCACCUGCCAGGUGGAGCACCAGAGCUUCAGGCAGCUGUACAACACAUCUGUUAUGCUAACGGUUCAUGCUCCAUCACAGCUUGAGUACAACCCUGUCACACUGGUAGCCCUCACCAGCCUCAUCAGUUUGCUCCUGGUAAUCUCUCUUAUUGGAGGUGCUCUUCUCAUCUACCGGUACAUCUGCAAAGCUCAACCAAGUGUUUCCCAAAUCAGCCAUGACAGCAUCAUAUACGCUCAGGUGCCAACUGAGCUCAAAUGCACCAUCCAGGGAGCCAAAGACAGAGAGAUCAGAGUCAGAUGGCUCAAACUACACGGCAGUGCAGAGUCUGCUGCCCAGGCAGACUCAGAGUCUCUGUUGGUCAGCGAGGAUCUGAGCAAACAGGCAUCACUCGUGUCAGAUGCAGAAGAACACCACACAUCUAUCCUGCCUCUGUGUCUGGAUCUGAGUGAAGACCUGUCUAAAUACCGGUGUGUGAUCAUGUGCAGGGGCGAGAGCAUCAGCAGAGAGAUCAUACUCAGGGUAAAAGUACAGCCGUCCUUCCUCCGGAUCUCUAGCAUUCCUCAAAUCCCCAAGGUGGAGAGGCUGCUGCUCCUUUGCUGUCGCGUAGAGAACUUCUACCCCCAGGAUGUCUACCUGGAGUGGUCGAGGAAUGACGGCGAACAGGUCCGUGCCGUCACACACUUUGGGCCAUUCUCUGGCUCCAACAGCCUCUACAGCGUGUGGAGUAAGAUCCAGUUGGUCAUGGCCAGAGAGGACGAGAGAGCAGUGUACACCUGCCGAGUGUAUCACUCCAGCUUCUCUGACCCAGGCUACAAGGAUGCUCAGUACCACAUCAACACUCAAGGAACUCCUCCUAAUGUCAGAUUUGUUGCAUGUGAAUCAUUGAAGCCCAGUGAAGAGUGUACACUGCACCUGUCCAUCCAAGACUUCUGUCCAGAGCAUGUGUCUGUGACUUGGACUAAAGAUGGACAACCGCUGGAUUGUAGCGUCUUCAACACUCCCCCAAGCUUGAACAUCAACGGCCUCUACUCAAUGUUCAGUUUUGUCAAGUUUACUCCUAGCGCGGAAGACCAGGGCUCUGUGUUUAGGUGCAGAGUGGUGCACAGCGCUCAGAAGGACCCGGAGGAACGAUUUUUCAUGUUGACAAACCUCCACCUAACCAAUGGACAUGUGUAAUACAGCAUUCACUGUAUUGUUUUUGUUCUUUAUUAUCACAAUGAAUGCUGCAAAUCACAUUCACUGUAUUGAGUGACUGUAAUGUAGCCAUUGUUAUGCUUAUGCGUGGGUAAUGACUGCUAAUUAAUAAGACUGUUUUACAGAUUGGCAAUUGUCCAUACACCUUUUCCAAAUACUUUCAAAAUAAAAGUUUCAAAUUUUG